AGAAAUCUUUCUUUCGACUCCUCGGCUCACCGAUCCCGCAUCAGCUACCAUGUACCAGACAUUUUUAGGAAGUAAGAAUAAGAGAAUUUCUGCCCCUGAAGGGCUCACAGUAUCGUGGGUGAGAUGAGCACAGUUUCAAUUUGGUUUAGCAUGGAAUGAAGACUACAAGAAUGCACAAUCGAGAAUCAGUAUAAACCUGUCUGGGGAGGUCAGGAAAGGCUUGCCAGAAGAGAGAAUACCCGAGAAGGUUUCUGAAGAAUGAGAGUGCGUUUGCCCACUGGGUGAGGGUUUAAAAUAAUCCAGGGAGAUGACUGCACAACUCAGUAAAUUUACUAAACAAAAGGCAUUUACUUAAAUGGGUGAAUUUUAUGGUAUGCAAAUUCUACCUCAAUAAAGUUGUUUAAAAGAAAUAAUCCAGGCAGAGAACAGAAGAUGCGAAAGCUCAGAUGAUGAAGUGGUUAAUCAUCAAUGAAACCCCUAUAUCCUCAACUUCCCUGAAGUUCCUGUUCCCUUCAUCUCUUGAUCUAACCGUAACCUGGCUCUCCCCUGAAGACAACGCUCCCCUAGUUGUCCUCUCAAGUGGUUGACUGUUUUCUUCUCCCACAAAGGUCAUAUCACUGGGCCUGAAGCGGGCCGGGGUGGGGGGUGGUCCCUCAUUGCUGUUUCUCAAUUAUUUCUUCCUCUUCACUAAAACAGCCCAGCUUUAUAUUUCAUGUCAUCAGACCAUACUAGACAGUACCCUGACUUGCCAUCUAUAGAUGGCAAGUUCUUCUCUCAGUAUUUUACAACUUAGUAAAUGGCCACUCCAUUUUUUUAGUUGCUCAGGCCAAAAACUCUUAGAACGAUGCUGACUUUUCUUUAUCAACCUACAUCCACUCCAUUAGGAAAUCCUAUUGGUUCAAACUUCAAAAUAUAACCAGAAUGAAACCACCCAGGGUUGCCGUUCCCACUGUGGUCAACCAUGAGCUAAAUUAUUGCAGUUGUCUCCUAGCUGGUCUCCUGGAGGACAUGCUGGUCACCCUACCAUCAAUAAGUGAUGCUUUAAAACAUAAAUCAGAUUAUAAACACACUAAUCCAAUAAUGGCUUCUCAUGUCACUCAGAGUAAAGCUCAUCUCCCUGUAAAGAAGGCCCUUGGGCUGCAUAUUUCACUGGUCCUGGAAAAUGACAAAAUUGAAGCAGUGAACAUUUAAACAACUUGAGACCUGAUUUAGCUACAAAACUUCUAUUUUAAUGUCCCUUAUCAAUUAAUCUCGUCAACACUUAUCUUAUUCAAACUCCAGAAGUCAGAACUUUAUUAUCCAUAUUGUCCUACAGGAAUCCUAAAGCGUUACAACACUCCACAAGUGAAUGGAACUUUCACAGCCUUUACCUUAAAUAGGAAGUAUUUAGUCAUAGAAAAUAUCAAGUUAUUUAGAAUGGUAUUUCAAAACUCCAUUCUUCUGGUAAGUUUUUUGUUUUUUUUUUUUUUGAUGUGGAAGAUUGUCCCUGAGGUAACAUCUGUUGCCAAAUCUUCCUCUAUUUUGUUUGCUGGAUGCUGCCACAGGCUUGAUGAGCAGUAUGUAGGUCCACGCCCAGGAUCCGAACCCACAAACCCCGGGCCGCGGAAGCAGAGUAUGUGAACCUAGCCACCAGACCACCCAGCUGGCCCCUGGUCAAGGAUUUUUUAACCUCAGGUAUUAAGCCAACUUUUCCCCCACUUCAAAGCAGUUAAAAUUACAAUAGCUCUUUACUUACUUUGCCUCACACUCAUCUCUUCUGGAAUAGGCUCUUGAGAUGUCUCCUCUGAUUCAAGAUUUCUACCUUCCAAGGUUGGAAGGUUGACAUCCGUCAAACCAGAGCGUCUUUUUCGUUCAUAUUUAUCAUAUCUGUCUGCUUUCUGAGCGAGAAAUCUCUCCUCAGCAAUUUUAGUUCUAAUCAUCUCAAUACUUAAAUCCUUUCUCAGUUGACUGGCAAAAUGUGAUGCAGCCAUCCUGCCAGGGAAAAGAAAGGUAGACAACUUAUAUAGAUUUUCAUAUUAUUUAAAAAAUUAAGAUUCCAGUUCACCUCCUGCCCCACCUCAGAGCAUUCUGAAAUAAAAAAUUUUCAGUACAAAAUGGAAUAAAUAUGUGACACUGCAGUGUGGGAAGAAAGUUAUCAAAAGAUAGUACGAUCUGUUUUGGGCUUCUACAUAGGGCCUUGCUUGACAGAUGAAGUGAAGCCCAGGAAGCUAUGGGCCAUAACACAAACAAGAGGCUCUAGGCUCACCGCACAGCACUACAAAGUGACAAGAGUGAAGGAAAGGAAAGGAUAGGGAAAGUAAGUGAAGGACAGUAUACAGAAUCGUUUCCUAACCUUUCCCUGGUGAUGAAGGCAGGAGCCUGGCAUUUUUUCUCAAGCCAAAAAACAAAACAAACCGAACACACAAGAUGCCUAUUAGACAGACAGGGAUGAUAAGCAGGCAGUUGGAUAUACAAGAUUGAGCACAAGAUGGGUUUUUAGAAGAACUGCCAUGGUGAUACAGAAGGAUAACCAUACAGUCUGCCGUUUGAGGGCAUAAUGAAAUUAUUUUCAGCCAUGUAAGAAAUCAUAUUGUUUACCUGGCCCAUACUCUUUUCUUAGAAAGAUUCUUGAGAACGUGUUCAAGCAAAACAAGGGAGAAGGACAAGAAACAGGAUGCCAUGUGUUCCAGGAAAUCCUUCAUUCAAGUGAGGAAAAGAAUAAAGGAAAGUGGAAAGUCUAAGGGAGUCACCUAUGCAGCUGGUAUAGAAAACAACCAAGCCCAAUGGGAGAAAGAUGACUGAUUCUCCACAAGUGUUGCUGGCUCAAAAGAAAAAAAGAAAGAAAGAAAAAGGGGACGGUCUGCCAAUAGGAAGAUAAAAAAGUUCUAAGCAAACUAGACUCUUCAACAACAAGAAUAACUGAGACAGUCCACUAGAAAACUCCAGAUCAAAGAAAAAUCUGCACAAGAAAUGCAACCAAUUAAAAUGUUACGUGAUUUUAAGCAAUCAACAGAGUAUAUAAAAAAUGAGAAUUCUUCUGACCUGGAUGCUAAUAACAUUCUCCUGUAAGAGCCCAGGGGAAGUGACAAAGGACUCCACUUUUCAGUAAGCAUGCUCCUCUACUAUUUGACUUGCCACCUCCUGCAAGUAUUAAUGUGCUAAAUGUUAAAGAGACAAUAAACCAUUAGUUAUUUUAAAAUACUGCAUAGCACUAUGCACCACAAAGAGAGACAGGGUGUGUGCAAAAGCUCGAGUUAAUAGUAAAGGCGUGUUUAAUUGUCACCUAAACCCGAACAGGUGGUUAGUAUCAUCGCUGUUACACAGGUGAGGGAGAGAACUGCCCACGUGAGCACAGCCAACAGGCGCUGGAGCUGGGAUCUCAAGCCCUCAGCCUGGCUCUUCACAUACAGGACAUCUAAGUGCCCCUUUUGGCUGAGUGGAGUUUCUUACAGCUUGAAAGUCUAGAAUGCCUUGUCUUGCUUGCCUAGAGGUUCGCAACCAGGGCGGGUUUUGUUGUUGCUUGCUCUGGGAGCAGCUACUGGAAUUGAAGGUCGGGGCCAAGGAUCCUAAGCAUCGUCCUGCCCCAGAGGCCAAUCACGGCCCAGUGGUGAAACGCUGACUAUUGUAUAGAUUAUGGCAACAAAUAUUUACUCUUCUGGAGGACGGAGCCGUCGGCUGCGGGAAGUGGUCCUAGAGGAGCCUCCCCCAAGCGGCGUCCAGCUCGCCGCUGCCCAUCUCAGACCCUUCCAGACCUUCUAGGAGGAGGCGAGCCAGCGCCCUUCUUCCAGCUCCCAGCACCCACCUUCCUCAGGCAGCCUGUAGCGUGAAACCUCUGUCAAACCAAAAGGAAAGGAACGCUCCCUGUCUGGAGAGCCACCGCCGCCUCGGAGCAGUGCCGCCUACACCUGAGCCGCCCAGAAUCCGAACUUCCCACACCCAGCCUCUGAUUGGAGGGCCUUUGAGCAACCCCUGCGGGAAAGGGGCCCGCCCCUUCUCUCCCACGAGGCUUGCGAUUGGUUCUCUCCCUGUGCUAUUCGAAUUGAUUGAAAGGUGAACGCACGGUUCAAAGGAUGGGCGGGUCCAACCGAUUCUGGCUGAGGGCCGGGGCCGGGGCGCAGGUGAGGCGGUGCGGUCCCUAAUCCGCCCGGAGCUCCAGGGCCCCAGCAUCGGAGGAGAAUGAAAGCGCUCCUCGGAGCAGAAGGGACUCUGUUUGCCGGGCUUUUUAACGUCCUUAUUUAGUCACACAAAUCCAGCACAGCUUAUUGGAACGUUUUCUUCACUUAAUAUUUUUUAAAAAGGGUUUACUACCUCAGAUUUCUCCUUACAUCGCUUAGCGUUACUUGCCAACAUCGCCAGGCUUUUUUUUUCCCAUCCGGUUUUUAUUGAGGUAAAAUUUAAAUACCGUGGAAAGGAUUGAUCUUUUAGUGUGUGAUUUGAUGAGUUUUGCUAAACGUAAACAGCUGUGUAAGCACCACCCAAUCGGGAAACAGCAUUUCCAUCAGAGAGUUCCCUCAUCCCCUUUCCAGGCGCCCACUGUUAGGCAGCCAACCUCUGCUCUGAUUUCCAUCACCACACACAUAAAGGGGGUAGGUCCUCUCCCAGGUGGGCCUUCUUUCUCUAACCAUGCUUUCCAGAUCCAUCCCUACUGUUGUGUGAUCAGGAGUUGGAUUUCAUUGCUGAAAAGUAUUCCAUCGAAUACUUUGUCUACCCAUUCACCCAUUGCUGGACAUCUGGAUUGUUUCCGUUUUUAGCUAUUAUGAAUAAAGUUGUGUGGAAAUUAAUAAAUAGAAACUUCAUUAAAUUGGAGUCUUGGGGCCCAAAGGCGGAGCUCUCACACCCUACCUCCUAGCAGAGCCCAACAGGAAGAAGACAGACUUCUUCUUGACCAAGAAGCUCAGCCAAUGAGAGACUAUCACAACUCAGCUAGUGAAACGCUGCUACACAUCUGGACUCCCUGUUCACAACGGCCGUCCCAACUUCCUCUUCCGCCUAGAAAAGAGUUUCUCCUCCAUGCUGCUAGCGACUUGCACCUGGCUCGCGAUGGUUUCAGACAUUGAAUUGCAAUUCUUGGUCCCCCAUAAACCCAGUUUUGCUGGAGAAAUAACUGGCUGGCUGUUUCAGGUCAAUAGUUGCUAUAAACAUUCUUGUACAAGUCUUUUUUGUGGGCCUGUUUUAUUUCUCUUGGGGAAAUAUAGAUGUGGUAUUUCUGGGUCAUUCUGGGUAUGCUUAACUUUAUAAGAAAUUGCCAAGCAGUUUUCCAAAAGAAAGCUGGCACAUUGUUAGGAACAGAGAGGGUCAUGGUGCAAUGAUAAAACAUUCUAUUCACCAAGCUAGAGCAAUUUUAAACAUGUAUGGAUCUAAUAAAAUAGGCUCACGAUUGAUGAAGCAAAAAUCUACAGAACUACAGAGAAAAAUUGAUGAAUCCGCCGUUAUCGUGAGUGAUUCAACACACCUCUCUCAGCACUGAUUGACCAAACAGACAGAAUUCAGCAAUGAUAUAAAGAAGAUUCAACAAAAGAACUAACCAACUUGAGCGAAUGGACACUCAAUAAUCAGAGAACACAUAUUUUCCUUGAGCACAUAUGGAGGAGUUACAAAUGAUCACACACUAGGCCAUGAAGAAAACUCCAACAAACUGCAUAGACUCAAGAAAGUUGGAAAUUAAAAGCAAAAAAUAAAUUUAAAAUCCCUGUUUAGUAACUUCUGGGUUUAAGAUGAAACUUAUGAUGGAAAAUGUAAAUGUCUAAAACCAAAAGAUAAUGAAAAAGCAAAUCAAGACUAGUGGGAUAUAGCAAAAUAGGUGCUUUGAAAGAAAUUUUGAAAGAAACUUUAAAAGAAAUUUUAAAUGCUUAUGUUAGAAAAGAAGAAAAUCUUAAAAUUAAUAUGUGUCCCUCUUAAGAAAUUAGAAAAAUAAUAACUGAGUAAAGUCAAAGAAAAUAGAAAGAUAGUAAAAGAAAGUACACAAACCAGUGAAAUAGAAAGUAAAGAUACAAUAAGAAAAUCGACAAAGUUAAAACUUCAUUCUUUGAAAAAAUUAAAAUAGAUAAAACUCUAGCAAGAUUGAUCAAAAAAAGAAAACACAAACAGUAUCAUGAAUGAGAAUACACAAAGGGGACUAUAUGCGUUACUAAUUCCUGUGUAGCAGAUUACCCCAAAAUUUGCAGCAUACAACAACCACCAUUUUAUUUGCUCUUGAUUCAAUGGGUCAGGAAUUUGGGCAGAUCUCAGUGGAACAAGUCAUCUGUGUUUCAUGUCUGUGUUCUCAGCUGGGUUGGCUCAAAGGGCCAGGCACUGGCUGGGAUGGGUAUUGAUCCCCUUUCUAAUUCUCUCUUCUCAUUCUCCCACUAGAGUGAGAGAAUCCACGGCCGUCUUGCUCAUCUUUGUGGACCCUGUUGCUGACUAUCAAGUGGGGCCAUUCUCUCCCUUUGGUUAGUCUUUCCUUCCCCAGCAGAUUCUCCAUUUCGUCUCUCUUGGACUUCUUUGCCUGGUAGCUGGGUUCCUUCUUGGCAUAUGUGGAAGGCCUCAUAAGACUUCGAUUUGGAAGUUUCAUAUUGGCAGAGGAGAAAAACAAGAGCUGGAGCAAUAACAUGCUGUGAAUUUUAUUGCCUCAGGAGAGGGACAGGGCAGGGAGGAGGGCAGAGUUAGCCAGUCAAAUGUUUGCCUGUUUUACUUGUCCGCACACCUGAGCUCAGCGAGGAGCACACGACGUUCAGGAGGACGCAGGGGCCCUGGAGGAGCAGGGGAAGGAGAGGCUGCCCCGUCGGAGGUCCGCGAGGGCCAGAGUGGUGCUGAGAAGCUACGUGGGAAACAAACACUGCUCCAUGGUGGAGCCCGAGGAGGGGCUAACCUCGGAAAAAGUAGUGGUGUCAGCUAUUUGGGGAAAGCAGGACCCUAGCACAGGGUUCCAACCUCAGCUGAGACUCCCAUGCUGCGCGUGGAGCCCCGAUGGAGCAGAGAUCUGCUGCGCUGCAAGGAGUCAUUCAUGGAGGCUCCCGGUUCCCCGGGUGUGCAGAUCACUGAAGCCUGGGGGGCCCCUUCUCUCUGAUGAUUUGGCAACUGCAAACCUUGGUGGGACCCCGGGGGGGCAGAGAAAGCCCAGGAAUAUCUGUGGUUACAUUUCCCAUCAAGCAGGUCUUAUGAGGGAGGUAGAGGGAGAAAGGGAAUAUUUCCCAGAGGCGGAAAUUAAACUGAAAUGUAGAAAAUAAAGUGAUAUUUCUUAUACACUUGAAUUUGUUGGCUGAGAUAAUACCCUGCCACGUAAUCUUUAAAUUGCCAAGCUUUAUGAGAUUUACUUGCUGUUCUGUAAUAUAAUUAUUAAAUCUUCUGUGCUUUUGACAUUGUUUGACACCCAAAAGUGAAAACCAAUAGACGGCAUGUACAAUAUUAAGAUUACAUAAGUAUUAUUCACCGCAAACCAAGCAUUGCGAUUGAACUAAUUUAGAAGGAAACUGAAGGCAUUCAAACAUUAAAAGUUUGCUGCUUAAAUUUUUCUUUUAUUUUCUCUGGUUGUACUUAGUUGCCACCAUUAUGUACAAUC